UUGUGGGUAUGUUGCUUUAAUUGC
rnacentral:piRNA from 1 species